rnacentral:rRNA from 1 species
GACGAACGCUGGCGGCGUGCUUAACACAUGCAAGUCGAACGGUAAAGCGCCUUCCUUUUUGGUUGGUGUGGAUGAGUGGCGGACCGGUUAAUGACACGUUAGUAACCUACCCCCUUCUGCUGGAUAACCGCAGGAAAGUUUCGCUAAUACCGGAUAUUCUGUGUCUGUGACAUGAUGGGACUGUGAGAGAUAUUGUUUCUGUGGGGGCCGGUCUCGCGGCCUAUCGGCUUGUUGGUGGGGUGAUGGCCUACCAAGGCUGUGACGGGUAGCCGGCCUGAGAGGGUGGACGGUCAUAGUGGGGCUGCGACGCGGCGCAGACUACGACGGGAGGCAGCAGGGGGGAAUAGUGAACAGUGGGAGGAAGGCUGAAGCAGCGACGCGGCGGGAGGGAUGGAGGCCGGGGGGUUAUGAACCUCUUUCGGGAGUGAAGCGGGGCUGCCUAGUAUGUGGGUGGGUUGACGGUAGCUGGAGAAGAAGCACCGGCUAACUACGUG